UAAUCGGUGGUUCAGUGGUAGAAUGCUCGCCUGCCACGCGAGUGGCCCGGGUUCGAUUCCCGGCCGAUGCAU
rnacentral:tRNA from 1 species